AGUGGAAUGGCUGGAUUACGUGGUAGGUAUAUAUUUCACUUUUGAAGAAACUAAGAAACUGUUUUCCAAAGUGAAUAUACCAUUUUACAUUCCCACCAGCAGU
rnacentral:pre_miRNA from 1 species